rnacentral:rRNA from 1 species
UACGGAGGAGGCAAGCGUUAUCCGGAAUUAUUGGGCGUAAAGCGUCCGUAGGUGGCUAGUCAAGUCUGCGGUCAAAGACUGGGGCUUAACCCUGGAAAGGCCGUGGAAACUGACGAGCUAGAGUGCAGUAGGGGUAGAGGGAAUUCCCGGUGUAGCGGUGAAAUGCGUAGAGCUCGGGAAGAACAUCGGUGGCGAAAGCGCCUACUG